AUGGCCAUCAAGCGCGUCUUCCCCGGCGACCACCCCGACUUCAAGGUGGACACCAGCGGCGGCGCCCCGAGGCUCGCCUUCUGCAAGAGGGUGUGCUACUGGACCUCCACCGACUAUCAGGUGACGCGCGCGCUCGGCGAGGGCGGCUUCGGCGGCAAGGCUUCGAAGUCCUCAAGGGACUCCUCUCGUGCAACAUCGACAAGAGGUUGUCGGCCACCACCGCGCUCAGGCGACCAUGGUUCGCCAACGUCGUCGAUGCUUCAGUUGAUCUCUAACUGCUGUAAAAACUAUUUUUGGGAUUCAAUUAACACAUUUUUUUGCGUCAAAAUUGGAUAUAUAUAUAUAUAUAUAUAUAUAUAUAUAUAUAUAUAUCGGCAAGGCCGGCCCUUCCCCGAGGCCGAUGUGCGCUGCAUCAUGGAGCAGCUCCUCGGCGCCGCCAAGCACAUGCACGGGCUCCGCAUCAUCCACCGCGACAUUAAGCCGGGGAACAUCCUCGUCGGCGCAGACGGCAUCAGCAACGUCAAGAUCUGCGACCUAGGGCUCGCGGUGUCCAUGUCCGAGCCUGCGCCGUACGGGCAGCACGGCAUACGCCGGUACAUGGCGCCGGAGAUGCUCCUCGGCAAGAACGACUACGACGCCACGGUUGACAUGUGGUCCCUCGGCUGUGUCAUGGCCGAGCUCCUCUCCGGGAAGCCGCUCUUCGACGGGGACGACGACGCCCAACAGCUCCUCGCCAUCUUCCGCGUUCUCGGCGUGCCAUUGUUCACGAUCUGGCCAGCCUACGAGUCAUUGCCGCUCGCCGGGAAGCUGGUGACGCCGCCGCAUGUCAUUUCCCGCAACAAGCUCCGUGAGCACUUUCCUGAGGACCUCCUCUCCAAAGAAGGCUUCGAAGUCCUCAAGGGGCUCCUCUCGUGCAACAUCGACAAGAGGUUGUCGGCCACCACCGCGCUCAGGCGACCAUGGUUCGCCAACGCCGUUGUCGAUGCUUCAGCCUGA
rnacentral:rRNA from 1 species